rnacentral:rRNA from 1 species
GCGCGGAGCACGAGGAAUUCUGCGUGAAUCUGCCGGGACCAUCCGGUAAGGCUAAAUACUCCCGAGAGACCGAUAGUGAACCAGUACUGUGAAGGAAAGGUGAAAAGCACUUCGAACAGAAGAGUGAAAUAGUUCCUGAAACCAUGUGCCUACAAGCGGUCGGAGCACCUUCUGGUGUGACGGCGUGCCUUUUGCAUAAUGAACCUACGAGUUACUUUUUCCGGCGAGGUUAAGGAUUUCAGAUCUGCAGCCGAAGCGAAAGCGAGUCUGAACAGGGCGUAUAGUCGGAAGGAGUAGACGCGAAACCAAGUGAUCUACCCUUGGGCAGGUUGAAGGAUGGGUAACACCAUCUGGAGGACCGAACCAAUAAGCGUUGAAAAGCUUCUGGAUGACCUGAGGGUGGGGGUGAAAGGCUAAUCAAACUUGGAGAUAGCUCGUACUCCCCGAAAUGCAUUUAGGUGCAGCCUUGACUUAUACUGGCAUGAGGUAGAGCGACUGAUAAGAUGCGAGGGCUUCACCGCCUAUCAAGUCUUGACAAACUCCGAAUGCGUGUCAGUUCUAUGUCAGGAGUGAGGGCAUGGGUGCUAAGGUCCAUGUCCUAAAGGAGAACAAUCCGGACCAACAGCUAAGGUCCCGAAAUGAAUACUAAGUUGAACUAACGAAGUCAGAUUGCUAAGACAGCUAGGAUGUUGGCUUGGAAGCAGCCAUUCAUUUAAAGAGUGCGUAACAGCUCACUAGUCGAGGAGUUUGGCGUGGAUAAUAAUCGGGCAUAAGUAUUCUACCGAAGCUUUGGGAUGAGAAAUCAUCGGUAGGGGAGCAUUCCACUCGGCGUCGAAGGUGAAGCGCGAGCUUUGCUGGAGCGUGUGGAAAAGCAAAUGUAGGUAUAAGUAACGAUAAAGGGGGUGGGAAACCCCCUCGCCGAAAGACUAAGGUUUCCUGAUCAACGCUAAUCGGAUCAGGGUAAGUCGGGUCCUAAGGCUCAGCCGAACGGCGAGGCCGAUGGCAGAACCGGUUAAUAUUCCGGUACUACCUGUGGGAGUGACGUGGAGACGGAGUCGUGACAGCGCCGCGGACUGACGGAAUAGUCCGUUGAAGGGUGUAGAUGCUGAUUGUUCCAGGCAAAUCCGGAGCAAGAGUCGAACCUGACAGUAUGGAGCGUUCUUAGAACAAUCCAAUAGUGCGUGUAAUCAUACUUCCAAGAAAAUCCGCUAAACUUAAUCCUGCAGGUACCCGUACCGCAAACGGACACACGUAGUCGGGUUGAAUAUACUAAGGCGCUUGAGUGAUUCACGGUUAAGGAACUAGGCAAAUUGACCCUGUAACUUCGGGAUAAAGGGUCCCAACGAGAGUUGGGCGCAGAGAAUAGGUCCAGGCAACUGUUUAACAAAAACACAGGGCUGUGCCAAAUUGAAAGAUUACGUAUACAGCCUGACACCUGCCCGGUGCUGGAAGGUUAAGAGGAGAUGUCAUCGCAAGAGAAGCAUUGAAUUGAAGCCCCAGUAAACGGCGGCCGUAACUAUAACGGUCCUAAGGUAGCGAAAUUCCUUGUCGGGUAAGUUCCGACCUGCACGAAUGGUGUAAUGAUCUGGACGCUGUCUCAACCGUGAGCUCAGUGAAAUUGUAGUAUCGGUGAAGAUGCCGAUUACCCGCGAUGGGACGAAAAGACCCCGUGAACCUUUACUAUAGCUUAACAUUGAAUUUGGGUAAUUGAUGUGUAGGAUAGGCCGGAGGCUUUGAAGCGGGCACGCCAGUGUCCGUGGAGCCGCUGUUGAAAUACGGCCCUUUGAUUAUUUGAGUUCUAACCCGUUGUUGCGGGGACACUGUUUGGUGGGUAGUUUGACUGGGGUGGUCGCCUCCAAAAGUGUAACGGAGGCUUCUAAAGGUGCCCUCACGACGAUUGGUAACCGUCGGCAGAGUGUAAUGGCAUAAGGGCGCUUGACUGGGAGACUUACAAGUCGAUCAGGUAGGAAACUAGAGCAUAGUGAUCCGGUGUUUCCGUAUGGAAGGGACAUCGCUCAAAGGAUAAAAGGUACUCCGGGGAUAACAGGCUGAUCCCUCCCAAGAGCUCAUAUCGACGGAGUGGUUUGGCACCUCGAUGUCGGCUCGUCACAUCCUGGGGCUGGAGAAGGUCCCAAGGGUUGGGCUGUUCGCCCAUUAAAGUGGCACGCGAGCUGGGUUCAGAACGUCGUGAGACAGUUCGGUCUCUAUCUAUCGUGGGCGCAUGAAAUUUGCGUGGCUCUGACACUAGUACGAGAGGACCGUGUUGGACUGACCUCUGGUUUACCGGUUGUGCCGCCAGGUGCAUUGCCGGGUAUCUAAGUCGGGAUUGGAUAAGUGCUGAAAGCAUCUAAGUACGAAGCCAGCCACAAGAUUAGAUUUCUCAGGGUCGUUGUAGACUACGACGUUGAUAGGAUGCAGGUGUACAGGCAGCGAUGUCAUAGCCGAGCAUUACUAAUUGCCCGUCCACUUUUU